rnacentral:rRNA from 1 species
UACGUAGGGGGCUAGCGUUGUCCGGAAUCAUUGGGCGUAAAGAGCGUGUAGGCGGCCUUUUAAGUCCUGCGUGAAAUCCUGCGGCUCAACCGCAGACGGUCGUGGGAAACUGGAAGGCUAGAGUCCGGAAGAGGAGACUGGAAUUCCUGGUGUAGCGGUGGAAUGCGCAGAUAUCAGGAGGAACACCGAUGGCGAAGGCAGGUCUCUGGGCAUUAACUGACGCUGAGGAGCGAAAGCGUGGGGAGCGAACAGG